CUACUAUAUACUAUAAUGAGAAGGGUGGAAUGACCAAGGGCAAAAAAGUAAUUUCACGCUAAUAAAAAUCUCCCUUUUCACCGUUCUAGAACUAUGUCUUCUUUCCUUAGUCGUUUUAUAUAGUAUAUGAAUCCUCAAGUUACAUUGCUCCUCAUGGACCUCUGGAUGUUGUACUUAUCAAUUCCUUAAUCUCUAGCUUUUUUCACCGUUCUAGAACUAUCAUCUUCUUCCUUUAGCCAUUUCAUAUAAUAUCUGAAUCCUCAAAUUACAUAUUGACUAAUAAAAAGAAAUUCGACUAAUCAGUAACGGAUAAUUAAGCUCAAACCUUCAAUCUGUAUUUUGGGUGAUUGUUGUUCAUUCAGAUUUGAAGGGGAUAGCAUCGUCAAUUUGUGGUAUGCAUCCAACGUAUUUGAUGAUAUGCCCACUUUCGAUUUUCUCUUGAUGAAAUUAAAAUUUUAAUUUCAUAGUUUAUGUGUAAUUACCAUAAGAUGCCGUCGCUCCUAAUUUUGGUGCUUUACUAGAUCUUUGAAAUAAAAUGUUUGCUUGGCCUGCAUUAUCUAUCCCCUGUUGCUACAGGCAAGAACAAUAUGAAAAAUCUAUUGCAAGAAGAGCAGCUCGUGCACAAAUGGCAGCUGCUGCCAAGCAAACAACGAUUCCGACAUGUUUAGUGGAAAUUCAUAUAGUCGGCUCCAACUCGCUUGCGGUAGUUGUUGUUAAGGUUAAUCUUCGCUUGCGGUAGUUGUUGUUAAGGUUAAUCUUGUUUAUCAAUAUGCUGGAAGUGCUAUCUCGCCUA